UGUUAUUACAGAGAGGUUAUGGAGAGGUGAUGUAUGUGUGAAAGAGUUAACCUAAAAUCUGUUCAAGUUAUUGCGGUUGUACAGCAGUACAGAUGGUCCUCAGCUCUUUAUCGCUGCUCCUCACACGCUACGGCAGCGCUGCUUGCAUGCAGCCCGGAGAAAACAUUACAAAAGAAGAAAUAAAGUCACAGGUUUGGAACAUCAAAUAAAGGAAGUAACAUUGGAGCCAACGGAUCUCCAGAUGCAGAUUACAGAAAGAACAGGAACAUUGGAGUGCAAGUAGACUGGAAAAGAGGAAUGGGAUCAGGACAUGACCCGGGCCAGACUCAAACCAGGGUCUUUGUGAGUCUUG